rnacentral:rRNA from 1 species
GACGUAGGGCGCGAGCGUUGUCCGGAUUUAUUGGGCGUAAAGAGCUUGUAGGCGGUUUGUCGCGUCUGCUGUGAAAAUCCGGGCUCAACCCCGGACUUGCAGUGGGUACGGGCAGACUGGAGUGUGGUAGGGGAGACUGGAAUUCCUGGUGUAGCGGUGGAAUGCGCAGGAUAUCAGGAGGAACACCGAUGGCGAAGGCAGGUCUCUGGGCCACUACUGACGCUGAGAAGCGAAAGCAUGGGGAGCGAACAGG